UACGGAGGAUGCGAGCGUUAUCCGGAAUGAUUGGGCGUAAAAGCGUCCCGCAGGUGGCUAUGUAAGUCUGCUGUUAAAGAGUGAGGCUCAACCUCAUAAGAGCAGUGGAAAACUACAUGGCUAGAGUGCGUUCGGGGGCAGAGGGAAUUCCUGGUGUAGCGGUGAAAAUGCGUAGAGAUCAGGGAAAGAAACACCCGGGUGGGCGAAAAAGCGCUCUGCUUAGGGCCCCGCAAACUGACACUAUGGACGAAAA
rnacentral:rRNA from 1 species